UUUUGGGGUGAUUUUGGGCACUUUGGGACCCCCGCAGCACGUCCGGAACAGCCGCGGCUCCAACAAGUACGAGGGGUGGCCGCAGGCGCUGGAGCUCGGCGGCUGCGUCCCCCAGCGGCCCCCGGGGUGACCCCAAAAACCGGGGGGACCCCAAAACAUCCCGGGGACCCCAAAACAUCCCGGGGGACCCUAAAAACAUCCCGGGAACCCCAAAAACAUGCCAGGGGGACCCAAAAACCCGGGGGGGACCCCAAAACAUCCCGGAGGUACCCCAAAACUCACAGAGACCCCAAGGGACCCCAAAACCCCCACAGAGACCCCCUCAAGGACCCCAAAAUCCACAGGGGGCACCCCAAAACUCACGGGGACGCCAAAAUCCCCACAGGGACCCCAAAAUGUCCCAGAACCCCCCAAAGCCGAGGAUUUGGGGUCCCCCGGGGCAGAUUUGGGGUCCCCCCGGUCAGAUUUGGGGUCCCCCCGAAUUUUAGGGUGUCCCGAACCCCCCCCCCCCCCCCGGGCCGGGUUUUGGGGCGCUCGGAGCCGUUUUGGGGGUUCGGGGUGAAAUUUUUGGGGUUUUUUUGGGGGGUCCCAAAUCUCCCCCUCCCCCUCCCCCGGCUCCUUGGGCAGGGGCGGGGCGAAUGCAAAUGAGCGGGCGGGUAAUUAGCAUGAUAAACGAGAGGGGCGGGGUUAUGCUAAUGAAGCGGCUGUUGGAAACGAGGCGGGGCGAAUGCAAAUAAAGGAGCGCGGUCGGCCA
rnacentral:lncRNA from 1 species